ensembl:snoRNA
AAGGCUAUACUUUAAGGGAUCAUUUCUAUGGUUCAUUACUAGAGAAGGCUCUAUGAACAUAUAGAACACUAGAAACCACGAGGAGGAGGUACAAUAUAUUCUCCUGAGCGUGAAGUUGGCUCUUGGUGUUGCUUCCCUGCAACUGCUAUUUGCCAUUGAUGAUUGUUCUUGUCUUCCUUUGGGAGAGUAAGAGGGAGAAGAUACAGUCUGAGUGGUU